rnacentral:rRNA from 1 species
UACGUAGGGUGCGAGCGUUGUCCGGAAUUACUGGGCGUAAAGAGCUCGUAGGUGGUUUGUCGCGUUGUCCGUGAAAACUCACAACUCAAUUGUGGGCGUGCGGGCGAUACGGGCAGACUGGAGUACUGCAGGGGAGACUGGAAUUCCUGGUGUAGCGGUGGAAUGCGUAGAGAUCCGGAGGAACACCGACGGCGCAGGCAGCGUCCUGGCCGCUUGCUGACACUGAGGCACGAAAGCUGGGGGAGCAAACAGG